CCUACGGGCGGCUGCAGUCGAGAAUAUUCCACAAUGGACGAAAGUCUGAUGGAGCGACGCCGCGUGCGGGAUGAAGGCCCUCGGGUUGUAAACCGCUUUUUUCAGGGAGCAAUUUCGAUGAGAGUACCUGAAGAAUAAGAGGUUACUAACUCUGUGCCAGCAGUAGCGGUAAUACAGAGACCUCAAGCGUUAUCCGGAUUUAUUGGGCGUAAAGCGCAGGUAGGCGGGUUUAUUAGUCGGAUGUCAAAGACCGGGGCUCAACUCCGGGAAGGCAUUCGAAACGGUAUACCUAGAGAAUGUGAGAGAUGAGUGGAAUUCAUGGUGUAGUAGUGAAAUGCGUUGAUAUCAUGAGGAACACCGAAGGCGAAGGCAACUCAUUGGCACAUUUCUGACGCUGAGCUGCGAAAGCGUGGGGAGCGAAUGGGAUUAGAUACCCCGGUAGUC
rnacentral:rRNA from 1 species